UUGGCGACCGGGUCCACCUCGCGGGUGACGACCAGGUAGUUGCGCAGCGCGACGGCAUGCAGAUGUUC
rnacentral:sRNA from 2 species